CAGCAGCCACGGUAAUACGAAGGGUGCAAGCGUUACUCGGAAUUACUGGGCGUAAAGCGUGCGUAGGUGGUGGUUUAAGUCCGUUGUGAAAGCCCUGGGCUCAACCUGGGAAUUGCAGUGGAUACUGGGUCACUAGAGUGUGGUAGAGGAUAGUGGAAUUUCCGGUGUAGCAGUGAAAUGCGUAGAGAUGUGGAGGAACACCGAUGGCGAAGGCAGCCCCCUGGGCCAAUACUGACGCUCAUGCACGAAAGCGUGGGGAGCGAACAGGAUUAGAUACCCCCGUAGUCCCUGUCUCUUAUAC
rnacentral:rRNA from 1 species